rnacentral:rRNA from 1 species
UUUAGGAACAUUUUCAAUGUAUUAGGUUUAUCCAACUCGUUGAGAAUUCUUAUUAGUGAAUUUUUGGUAUAUUUGGCUUUGCCUUACAAAACAACAAACAAGUUUGACCUCAAAUCAGGUAGGACUACCCGCUGAACUUAAGCAUAUCAAUAAGCGGAGGAAAAGAAACCAACAGGGAUUGUCUCAGUAACGGCGAGUGAAGCGACAAAAGCUCAAAUUUGAAAUCUGGCGCCUUCGGUGUCCGAGUUGUAAUUUGAAGAAGGUAACUUUGGUUUUGGCUCUUGUCUAUGUUCCUUGGAACAGGACGUCACAGAGGGUGAGAAUCCCGUGCGAUGAGAUGCCCAAUUCCAUGUAAAGUGCUUUCGAAGAGUCGAGUUGUUUGGGAAUGCAGCUCUAAGUGGGUGGUAAAUUCCAUCUAAAGCUAAAUAUUGGCGAGAGACCGAUAGCGAACAAGUACAGUGAUGGAAAGAUGAAAAGAACUUUGAAAAGAGAGUGAAAAAGUACGUGAAAUUGUUGAAAGGGAAGGGCUUGAGAUCAGACUUGGUAUUUUGUAUGUCUUGCUUUCGGGUAGGGCCUCUGCAGUUUAUCGGGCCAGCAUCAGUUUGGAUGGUAGGAUAAUGACAUUGGAACGUAGCACUGCUUCGGUGGUGUGUUAUAGACUUUGUUGAUACUGCCUGUCUAGACUGAGGACUGCGUCUUUGACUAGGAUGCUGCCA